rnacentral:rRNA from 1 species
AUUGAACGCUGGCGGCGUGCUUAACACAUGCAAGUCGAGGGGCAGCAUAGAAGUAGCAAUACUUUGGUGGCGACCGGCGCACGGGUGAGUAACGCGUAUGCAACCUACCUAUCAGAGGGGAAUAACCCGGCGAAAGUCGGACUAAUACCGCAUAAAACAGGGGCACCGCAUGGAGAUAUUUGUUAAAGAAAUUCGCUGAUAGAUGGGCAUGCGUUCCAUUAGGUAGUUGGUGAGGUAACGGCUCACCAAGCCGGCGAUGGAUAGGGGGACUGGGAGGUUGGGCCCCCGCGCGGGUACUGAGACACGGACCAGACUCCUGCGGGAGGCAGCAGUGAGGAGUAUUGGUAGAUGGGCGUGAGCCUGAACCAGCCAAGUCGCGUGAAGGAAGAAGGAUCUAUGGUUCGUAAACUUCUUGUGCAGGGGAAUAAAGUGCAGGACGUGUCCUGUUUUGUAUGUACCCUGAGAAUAAGGAUCGGCUAACUCCGUGCCAGCAGCCGCCGUAAUAC